GUCGAGCGAAUGGAUUGAGAGCUUGCUCUCAUGAAGUUAGCGGCGGACGGGUGAGUAACACGUGGGUAACCUGCCCAUAAGACUGGGAUAACUCCGGGAAACCGGGGCUAAUACCGGAUAACAUUUUGAACUGCAUGGUUCGAAAUUGAAAGGCGGCUUCGGCUGUCACUUAUGGAUGGACCCGCGUCGCAUUAGCUAGUUGGUGAGGUAACGGCUCACCAAGGCAACGAUGCGUAGCCGACCUGAGAGGGUGAUCGGCCACACUGGGACUGAGACACGGCCCAGACUCCUACGGGAGGCAGCAGUAGGGAAUCUUCCGCAAUGGACGAAAGUCUGACGGAGCAACGCCGCGUGAGUGAUGAAGGCUUUCGGGUCGUAAAACUCUGUUGUUAGGGAAGAACAAGUGCUAGUUGAAUAAGCUGGCACCUUGACGGUACCUAACCAGAAAGCCACGGCUAACUACGUGCCAGCAGCCGCGGUAAUACGUAGGUGGCAAGCGUUAUCCGGAAUUAUUGGGCGUAAAGCGCGCGCAGGUGGUUUCUUAAGUCUGAUGUGAAAGCCCACGGCUCAACCGUGGAGGGUCAUUGGAAACUGGGAGACUUGAGUGCAGAAGAGGAAAGUGGAAUUCCAUGUGUAGCGGUGAAAUGCGUAGAGAUAUGGAGGAACACCAGUGGCGAAGGCGACUUUCUGGUCUGUAACUGACACUGAGGCGCGAAAGCGUGGGGAGCAAACAGGAUUAGAUACC
rnacentral:rRNA from 1 species